GUGGGGAAUCUUCCGCAAUGGACGAAAGUCUGACGGAGCAACGCCGCGUGAGUGAAGAAGGUUUUCGGAUCGUAAAGCUCUUUCGUUAGGGACGAACGUGCUCUUUGUGAAUAAUGAGGAGUAAUGACGGUACCUAAAUAAGAAGCCACGGCUAACUACGUGCCAGCAGCCGCGGUAAUACGUAGGUGGCAAGCGUUGUCCGGAAUUAUUGGGCGUAAGGCGCGCGCAGGCGGGAUAUCAAGUCUGUCUUAAAAGUGCGAGGCUCAACCUCGUGAGGGGACAGAAACUGGUAUUCUUGAGUGUCGGAGAGGAAAGUGGAAUUCCAAGUGUAGCGGUGAAAUGCGUAGAUAUUAGGAAGAACACCAGUGGCGAAGGCGACUUUCUGGACGAAAACUGACGCUGAGGCGCGAAAGCCAGGGGAGCGAACGGGAUUAGAUACCCCGGUAGUCC
rnacentral:rRNA from 1 species